AAUUUGAAAUCUGGCCCCUUCGGGGUCCGAGUUGUAAUUUGUAGAGAGUGCUUCGGGGGAGACCGCGGUCUAAGUCCAUUGGAACAUGGCGUCCCAGAGGGUGAGAAUCCCGUAUGUGACCGCGGCUCGAUCCCAUGUGAAGCCUCUUCGACGAGUCGAGUUGUUUGGGAAUGCAGCUCUAAAUGGGUGGUAAAUUUCAUCUAAAGCUAAAUACUGGCUGGAGACCGAUAGCGCACAAGUAGAGUGAUCGAAAGAUGAAAAGCACUUUGGAAAGAGAGUUAAACAGUACGUGAAAUUGUUGAAAGGGAAGCGCUUGCAACCAGACCUGCCCGUAGGCGAUCAACCGCUGUUCUCAGCGGUGCACUCGUUCUGCGAUCAGGCCAGCAUCGGUUCGGGCGGUCGGAUAAAGGCCUUGGGAAUGUAGCUUCCCUUCGGGGGAGUCUUAUAGCCCUCGGUGCAAUGCGGCCAGCCGGGACCGAGGACCGCGCUUCGGCUAGGAUGCUGGCGUAAUGGUUGUAAGCGACCC
rnacentral:rRNA from 1 species